AGUAUUGGGUUAGCCAAAAAUCUUGUUCGGGUUUGUCCAUAGGAUGGUGCAGAAAACUAUGAACGAACUUUUUGGCCAACCCAAUACGUU
rnacentral:miRNA from 1 species